GAUGAACGCUGGCGGCGUGCCUAAUACAUGCAAGUCGAGCGAACAGACGAGGAGCUUGCUCCUCUGACGUUAGCGGCGGACGGGUGAGUAACACGUGGAUAACCUACCUAUAAGACUGGGAUAACUUCGGGAAACCGGAGCUAAUACCGGAUAAUAUAUUGAACCGCAUGGUUCAAUAGUGAAAGACGGUUUUGCUGUCACUUAUAGAUGGAUCCGCGCCGCAUUAGCUAGUUGGUAAGGUAACGGCUUACCAAGGCGACGAUGCGUAGCCGACCUGAGAGGGUGAUCAGCCACACUGGAACUGAGACACGGUCCAGACUCCUACGGGAGGCAGCAGUAGGGAAUAUUCCGCAAUGGGCGAAAGCUUGACGGAGCAACACCGCGUGAGUGAUGAAGGUCUUCGGAUCGUAAAGCUCUGUUAUUAGGGAAGAACAAAUGUGUGAGUAACUAUGGACGUCUUGACGGUACCUAAUCAGAAAGCCACGGCUAACUACGUG
rnacentral:rRNA from 1 species